UACAGAGGUCCCAAGCGUUGUUCGGAUUCACUGGGCGUAAAGGGUGCGUAGGUGGUCGGGUAAGUCUGAUGUGAAAUCUCUGGGCUCAACCCCGGAACUGCACUGGAUACUGCCUUGCUAGAGUACUGGAGAGGGAACUGGAAUUUACGGUGUAGCAGUGAAACGCGUAGAGAUCGUAAGGAAGACCAGUGGCGAAGGCGAGUUCCUGGACAGUAACUGACGCUGAGGCACGAAGGCCAGGGGAGCAAACGGG
rnacentral:rRNA from 1 species